GGGAGAUCAACUAGUUCUCGGGAUGCAGACGGAAAAACAGUAAAACAAGCUCUUCGCGGUACAAGUGAAAAAGAUCAAAACGGGCGUUCAUGCUUAAGUGCAUCUUCAUAUUAAACUUAAGCUAGCGAAAUGGGGGACAGUGGAUGCCUCCUACCUAAAUCCAUCAGUAAAGUAACACCGUCCCCACAAAUGCGACUCACCACCAAAGCAAUA